rnacentral:rRNA from 1 species
AACGCGAAGAACCUUACCUGGGCUCGAAAUGUAGAGGACUAAGCAAGAGAUUGUUUAUCCCGAAAGGGUCUCUAUAUAGGUGCUGCAUGGCUGUCGUCAGCUCGUGCCGUGAGGUGUUUGGUUAAGUCCAGCAACGAGCGCAACCCUUAUCGUUAGUUGCCAACGCGUAAUGGCGGGAACUCUAACGAGACUGCCUAGGUUAACUAGGAGGAAGGUGAGGAUGACGUCAAGUCCGCAUGGCCUUUAUGUCCAGGGCUACACACGUGCUACAAUGGUCGGUACAGAAGGCAGCGAAGCCGCGAGGUGGAGCAAAUCCUACAAAACCGAUCUCAGUUCAGAUUGCAGUCUGCAACUCGGCUGCAUGAAGUUGGAAUUGCUAGUAAUGGCGAGUCAGCAAUAUCGCCGUGAAUACGUUCCCGGGCCUUGUA